GAUCCACAGAGUUUGGUGACAAUAAUGACAGUAGAUGUUUGUGUGAAAGUGCUGGAAGCAAAUGAGUGUGUGAUGUUCUUUCAGUGUUGCACUUUGUAGACGCUCCCUGAGCACUGGUCUCACAGCCAGCUGCACAUAGAGACCAGUGUUGUUAGUCCAGGUCAGAAGAUGACUUGUUGGAAUGAAAAUGAGCUUGUAGUUUGUCUGCUUUAAUAAUGUGACUGGAAAAAGGUGUUGGACUUCAAAUAUGUCCAUUUCUUUCACACUUCACCUUUAAAAGUGAAGCCUUGUGGUUCCUGGAAGGAAAAACACGACUUUUUCAAGUCUUUGUCCUGUUUUUAUGAUAAAUGUACGACUUUAAUGUGAAACAUUCAGAGUUUUUUCUCUUGUUGUGUUUGUUUGAAGCUGCUUCCUGUUGGCUUCAGCUGUUUGGAGUUUCCAUUUUCUAAACUUCUACAUUCUGAACCUUCUUCAGCUCUGAACAGAUGAUGAAACACUGAAUGAUUUCAAGCUCACACUUUGUCUAAUAAACUUACAUCUUUCAUUCUUUAUACAGAUUGAGGACUGUGGUUUGUCAGAGAUCAGCUGUGAUUAUCUGGCAGCAGCACUGAAGUCCAACCCCUCCCAUCUGAGAGAGCUGGACCUGAGCUACAACAACAAGCUGCAGGAUUCAGGAGUGAAGCAUCUGUGUGGUUUCCUGGAGAGUCCAGGAUGUGGACUUGAAACUCUGGGAUUGAGGGCUGUGGUUUGUCAGAGAUCAGCUGUGAUUAUCUGGCAGCAGCACUGAAGUCCAACCCCUCCCAUCUGAGAGAGCUGGACCUGAGUAACAACAACAACCUGCAGGAUUCAGGAGUGAAGCAUCUGUGUGGUUUCCUGGAGAGUCCAGGAUGUGGACUUGAAACUCUGAGAUUGAUGGACUGUGGUUUGUCAGAGAUCAGCUGUGAUUAUCUGGCAGCAGCACUGAAGUCCAACCCCUCCCAUCUGAGACAGCUGGACCUGAGCUUCAACAACAAGCUGCAGGAUUCAGGAGUGAAGCAUCUGUGUGGUUUCCUGGAGAGUCCAGGAUGUGGACUUGAAACUCUGAGGUCAGUCAGCAUGUUUUAGUUGUGCUGAGAUGAAUAUGAUGUGAAAGUUGUGCUGACACUAAACUGCAGACAUCAGGCUGAUAUUAUACUGAUCCACACUGAGGAUCUUCAUGGUAAAGUCUGUUUUCUUCUUCUCUGGUUUAGUCCAUUGACUGCAGCAGAACAAUGUUCACAUUUCAAACAGUGAGACUCAACGUAUGGCCCGCGGCCCACACGCGGCCUGCCCACCUUUCCUGAUUCAGAGAGAGGGGACCCUGAUGAACUGUGUAGUGUUCUUCCUCACAGUUCUAAGUAUCAGACACAACAAUGAAUAAUCCACAGCUGACUGUCUUUAGCAGGUCAAAGGUCACGGCACACAGCAGACAGUGGGAAAUAUUAUAAUUCUGAUCAUUUAUCAGCACAUAUCCAUAUGUA